AAGACUAUACUUUCAGGGAUCAUUUCUAUAGUUUCUGACUUGAGAAAUGUGUUUCUAAAGUGUAUGGUCUCGCUACCCACGAUGAUGAGAUGUGAUAUUCCUUUCUCAGUGUGAAGUAGAUAGAGGACAAUGAUUCAAUUCAUGUUUUCUGUCAUUGAUGACUGUUCUUUGCUUCUCUGUGGAGCAGUGAGGAGAGGAAUAUGAUCAGAGUGGU